rnacentral:tRNA from 1 species
GGAGAGGUGGCCGAGUGGUUGAAGGCGGCUGACUCGAAAUCAGCUGAAGACAUUAAGUCUUCCGCAGGUUCGAAUCCUGUCCUCUCCGCCA